rnacentral:rRNA from 1 species
AGAGUUUGAUCCUGGCUCAGGACGAACGGGCGGCGCGCCUAACACAUGCAAGUCGAACGAGCGAGAGAGAGCUUGCUUUCUCGAGCGAGUGGCGAACGGGUGAGUAACGCGUGAGGAACCUGCCUCAAAGAGGGGGACAACAGUUGGAAACGACUGCUAAUACCGCAUAAGCCCACGGCUCGGCAUCGAGCAGGGGGAAAAGGAGCAAUCCGCUUUGAGAUGGCCUCGCGUCCGAUUAGCUAGUUGGUGAGGUAACGGCCCACCAAGGCGACGAUCGGUAGCCGGACUGAGAGGUUGAACGGCCACAUUGGGACUGAGACACGGCCCAGACUCCUACGGGAGGCAGCAGUGGGGAAUAUUGCACAAUGGGGGAAACCCUGAUGCAGCGACGCCGCGUGGAGGAAGAAGGUCUUCGGAUUGUAAACUCCUGUUGUUGGGGAAGAUAAUGACGGUACCCAACAAGGAAGUGACGGCUAACUACGUGCCAGCAGCCGCGGUAAAACGUAGGUCACAAGCGUUGUCCGGAAUUACUGGGUGUAAAGGGAGCGCAGGCGGGAAGACAAGUUGGAAGUGAAAUCUAUGGGCUCAACCCAUAAACUGCUUUCAAAACUGUUUUUCUUGAGUAGUGCAGAGGUAGGCGGAAUUCCCGGUGUAGCGGUGGAAUGCGUAGAUAUCGGGAGGAACACCAGUGGCGAAGGCGGCCUACUGGGCACCAACUGACGCUGAGGCUCGAAAGUGUGGGUAGCAAACAGGAUUAGAUACCCUGGUAGUCCACACCGUAAACGAUGAUUACUAGGUGUUGGAGGAUUGACCCCUUCAGUGCCGCAG